rnacentral:rRNA from 1 species
AUUGAACGCUGGCGGAAUGCUUUACACAUACAAGUCGAACGGCAGCACGGACUUCGGUCUGGUGGCGAGUGGCGAACGGGUGAGUAAUAUAUCGGAACGUGCCCAGUCGUGGGGGAUAACGUAGUGAAAAUUACGCUAAUACCGCAUACGAUCUAUGGAUGAAAGCGGGGGAUCGCAAGACCUCGCGCGAUUGGAGCGGCCGAUAUCAGAUUAGGUAGUUGGUGAGGUAAAGGCUCACCAAGCCGACGAUCUGUAGCUGGUCUGAGAGGACGACCAGCCACACUGGAACUGAGCCACGGUCCAGACUCCUACGGGAGGCAGCAGUGGGGAAUUUUGGACAAUGGACGCAAGUCUGAUUCAGCCAUUCCGCGUGCAGGACGAAGGCCUUCGGGUUGUAAACUGCUUUUGUACAGAACGAAAAGGUCUCUAUUAAUACUAGGGGCUCAUGACGGUACUGUAAGAAUAAGCACCGGCUAACUACGUGCCAGCAGCCGCAGUAA